ACAGACGAAAAAGCUCUGGUUAAUACCCUGGAGUCCAUGACGGUACUGUAAGAAUAAGCACCGGCUAACUACGUGCCAGCAGCCGCGGUAAUACGUAGGGUGCAAGCGUUAAUCGGAAUUACUGGGCGUAAAGCGUGCGCAGGCGGUGAUGUAAGACAGUUGUGAAAUCCCCGGGCUCAACCUGGGAACUGCAUCUGUGACUGCAUCGCUGGAGUGCGGCAGAGGGGGAUGGAAUUCCGCGUGUAGCAGUGAAAUGCGUAGAUAUGCGGAGGAACACCGAUGGCGAAGGCAAUCCCCUGGGCCUGCACUGACGCUCAUGCACGAAAGCGUGGGGAGCAACAGGAUUAGAUACCCUGGUAGUCCACGCCCUAAACGAUGUCAACUGGUUGUUGGGUUUUUAUUAACUCAGUAACGAAGCUAACGCGUGAAGUUGACCGCCUGGGGAGUACGGCCGCAAGGUUGAAACUCAAAGGAAUUGACGG
rnacentral:rRNA from 1 species